rnacentral:rRNA from 1 species
AUUGAACGCUGGCGGCAGGCCUAACACAUGCAAGUCGAGCGGAUGACGGGAGCUUGCUCCUUGAUUCAGCGGCGGACGGGUGAGUAAUGCCUAGGAAUCUGCCUGGUAGUGGGGGACAACGUUUCGAAAGGAACGCUAAUACCGCAUACGUCCUACGGGAGAAAGCAGGGGACCUUCGGGCCUUGCGCUAUCAGAUGAGCCUAGGUCGGAUUAGCUAGUUGGUGAGGUAAUGGCUCACCAAGGCGACGAUCCGUAACUGGUCUGAGAGGAUGAUCAGUCACACUGGAACUGAGACACGGUCCAGACUCCUACGGGAGGCAGCAGUGGGGAAUAUUGGACAAUGGGGGAAAGCCUGAUCCAGCCAUGCCGCGUGUGUGAAGAAGGUCUUCGGAUUGUAAAGCACUUUAAGUUGGGAGGAAGGGCAGUAAGUUAAUACCUUGCUGAUUUGACGUUACCGACAGAAUAAGCACCGGCUAACUCUGUGCCAGCCGCCGCAGUAACAC